rnacentral:misc_RNA from 1 species
AUAAAUAAAUAAUAGAAGAUUAAUAAAUUCAAUUAUAAUGAUCCUAAUGGGUUGAUGGAGUGGAGAAAUUUAAAUGAAGAGAAAAUAUGUACAGAGUGUCUCAACUAAGUGGGUUCGCCUAAAUAUCUGUCUUCUAUAUCGUCGCAUGAACUUCUCGCGACAAGACAAGUUCGGUUUAAAGUAAAACAAACUUCUUAAGACAAAGUUACACCAUUUCACUGGACACGUGUAACGGUGGAAAGACUUUUUCUCAUAAUAUAAUUCAAGCUUGCUCAAAAUAUAACUUCACAAAAUAAAAUAUGCCUAGUACAAUAGCGUUCGAGAAGAAGUCUUUGUAUUUUUGUAUCUUCUCUGGAUUUCUAUUGAAAAAAACGCCAUUGAGAUUGCGGAAAUUUGCUCAGCAUCAGAGGAAGACGUUGCAAUUAAUAAAAUCUGCAAAUCUCGAAGGGUCGCAAGUUAUUUGGCUAUUAUAAAUAUAAAUGGAGGUCGCGAUUGAAAAUAGUCGGGAUAUACCGUUGUGCAAGAAAGAAAAUGGGAAAGAAAGAAAAUCGGGUUAAAAUAGAAAUCGAAAAGCAAUGACGAGGGAGAAAAAAGUAAUGUUGAAAAAGUCAAGAAGAUUAACCAGAG